GCAGACACAUUCCAGCCAAUCAGCAGCAGACCCUCCCUCCCAGACCCUCCCACCUCCUGGACAGCAUCCAUUUUGAAGCUGCAUUCUUAGUGAGCUGUCCAGGAGUUGGUAGGGUCUGGGAGGGAGGGUCUGCUGCUGAUUGGCUGGAAUGUGUCUG